rnacentral:lncRNA from 1 species
CGACCUAAUAGGUUUGGGCUAUUGGGUGAUAGAGUUAUUGGAUAUUGGAUUGGAUGGUUUCGGAUUAGAAUUUUUGAGUCAAUUUUUCAGUUUGAGUUAGCCUGCAUGGUUGGGUUAGCUCUAAGUUUCCCAAUAGGGUUCAGUUUGGGCUUAGGGUCUGUGUUAUAAGGUCCUUGUCAAGGUCAGCAUCGGUAGCCUAAUUUAGGGUUAAGGUUUGGCUGGCAGAGGGGAGGGAC